AUUGAACGCUGGCGGCAGGCUUAACACAUGCAAGUCGAACGAGUGGCGGACGGGUGAGUAAUGUCUGGGAAACUGCCCUUUGGAGGGGGAUCACUACUGGAAACUGUAGCUAAUACCGCAUACCAUCGGAUGUGCCCAGAUGGGAUUAGCUAGUUGGUGGGGUACUGGCGCACCUAGGCGACGAUCCCUAGCUGGUCUGAGAGGAUGACCAGCCACACGGGAACUGAGACACGGUCCGGACUCCUACGGGAGGCAGCAGUGGGGAAUAUUGCACAAUGGGGGCAAGCCUGAUGCAGCCAUGCCGCGUGAAUGAAGAAGGCCUUCGGGUUGUAAAGUACUUUCAGCGAGGAGGCGUUAAUCGCAGAAGAAGCACCGGCUAACUCCGUGCCAGCCGCCGCGGUAAUAC
rnacentral:rRNA from 1 species